UCUGUCUCCAAGGCACGGACUUGAUCCAGAAUGUAAACAACCUGACCACCAGUGUCAGGGUAACCAAGGACAUUGUCCUGAGCGAAGUAGCCAUGCGGAGAGAGGAUCACAACGUUGAACACCAUUGGGAUUCUUCCGAGAAAGGUCUCAAGAGUGCAAGGGUCAGGGGCCUCAAGAAGGUCCAAAAGAAGACGGAGCAUGUCAAGGACACGCUCGGCGUUGUUUCCCCAUCCCCUCUCAAGACCAAUCUCCUCAAACUUGGCCUCAAAGUCUUCGUAAGGCGUUUCGGGUGAAAGCUCGGCUAGAUACUCCUCAGCUUUCCUCAAGAUGUGUUGAAGAGUGUUGAGGUUUUGAAUUUUCUCGUUCAACAUGAGGGUCUACACGACAAAACACACAAAUCAUUCAGACAAGAUUCUGUGUUUAAAGAAGAAGAGAUUUGAACAGUUUACCUUUCCCUGGUGGCUGUGAAGUUGAAGGAACUUAAGCAAUGGAAGCAAACUGUCUUUUUCAUGGAAGAGCUUAGCAGAGAGGUGACGGUUAAGGAACUCAACACCGUCUCCAAUGUACUUGGGGAGCGUUGGGCGAGGGACAGACGCGUUGAAUGGCUCAAAAUCAAGCUCUAGUGUGAAAUUUCCAUUCUUACUGCCAUUCAAAAGUGACAUCAUUGAGUGUGCAACACACACAAACAGUAAAAAACAGAAUUUGAAGUUAGAAAGUGGUUUAGACAUACACUCCAUCAACAAGUUCUUCUUUGAAAUGAAGAAACUCAGCAGGUUGAAGCUCCUCAACAACAAGAGCAUGGAGAUUGACUCUUAUGUAUUCCCACACACCAGGCCUUGGCCUCACAGCAAGAGCUACCCAUGGUGGCAACACUAUUGCUUCCUGUUUUUUUUAACCAAUACCAAUACAAAAAGAUCAAAACUUUUUACCAAAAGAUCAAAACUUUCACUACCAAAAAGAUAAAAACUUAUUACCAAAAGAUCAAAACUCUUUUUUACCAAAAGGUGAAGGUUUUUUAUCAAAAGAUCAAAACUUUCACUACCAAAAAGACCAAAACUCUCACUACCAAAAAGAUUAAAACUUAUUACCAAAACAUCAAAACUCUUUUUUACCAAAAGGUGAAAACUUUUUACCAAAAGAUCAAAACUUUCACUACCAAAAAGACAAAAACUCUCACUACAAUCAAGAUCAGAACUUAUUACCAAAAGACCAAAACUCCUUUUUACCAAAAGGUGAAAACUUUCACUACCAAAAAGACCAAAACUCUCACUACCAUCAAGAUCAAAACUCCUUUUUACCAAAAGGUGAAAACUUUCACUACCAAAAAGACCAAAACUCUCACUACCAUAAAGAUCAAAACUUUCAGUAGUAACCCAUUUGAGUGAAUGUACCUGAGUGGUUUUGAGAAGGUCGAAGAAAGCACCACCUUCAAUCUUCUUCUGGGUUUCUUCAGGCAAAGCCUCGAAUUCAGCAAUGAUCUGGUUUUGUUGCAGGAUGCCUUUACCCUUGGCUUCAACCCUAUAGACUCAUCAUGUGUAAGUGUGAUCAAACUUUUAUCUUCUCUUCUUACCAUUUUAAAAGUUGAUUGAUGCGAGGAGAUACCUGGAAAGCAAGGCAAGGACUUCGUUUCUUUGAGCAACGAGCGUUUCGUUCAAACGCUCACGCUGGCUGUGGACGCGCGUUAACACACCGUUCACCAUUGAUCCAAAAGAGACAACAGAAAGUGUUUUUGGAAACUGCAGAGAGAAAAUUAAGAUACAAAGAAAACUAUGAAUGAGAUGAUGAGUCUUUGCAUUGCCCACAUUCACAUUUUAUACUAGAAAACUAUGAGUUAGAUAAAUUAAUAUAGCAUUUAUUUAUUGACCUUAUUGAUCAAAUACUUGACUUUUUCUAACUAUUUUAGCCUUGAUCUUCCUAAGGUAUUACAAUAUAACCAUAGAGCUUAUUAAAUUGAUAAAAUUAUAUUUUUUGAACUAUACUUGGACGUGUACAAACUCAGAAUGAUAUUUUAUGGAUUAGCUUUAUCCAACAAUUUUAUUAGUUUCGCUAAACAUUCCUGUCCACCAUCCGUAUAAAAGCAAUGGUGUUUAGGCCUCGUCACAUUUAAAUCCAAGUGCGACCUUAUAAAAGUGGAUGCAAAAAUAUAAUAUAAAUACAAAAAUGUACCAUAUUGCUUAAAAAAGAUAUUUAAAAGUGCAUGCAAAUAUCUUCUUUUUUUUUUUGAUCAAAAAGUGCAUGCAAAUAUCUAUGUCAUACAAUACAUUAAAGAAAACAAGACACCCACCAAAAUAAAAAUAAACUUAUUGGCAAAUCUAAAGAAAACUAUACAUUUUUUCUAGAACAGUACAAUACUCUAUAGUGGAUUUUGGAUAUAGUUUUUUUUAGAAAAUGAUUCCGCAUGCAAAAGAAUUUUCUAAAAAUGUUAAAUUAAAUAAAAUAAAAUUACACUCAUUUUUCUUUGGAAAACAGCUGGAAAAUUCUCUUGGAAAAAAAUCCCUCUUUAAAAAAAGCGAGAAAAUAGAAUAAUGCACGACUGAUUCUCCAGAAUAUAAAGACGUUUGCUGUUUUUCUUCUAACCAGAGAUUUUUCGGGCAAGAAUUUUCUUAGGCAAAAAGGACAAUCAUUUUCUGUUCUUUUUUUAAGAAUAAUAAACAAAAAAUUCUUGUCUCGCUAGCUAGCAUUAUAAUCUAUAAUAUGUUAAAAUGAUAACGUGAACCAAAAACAAAAAGCUGAGAAGAAGAGGACCUUGCAGACUUGCAGUAUAUAGUGGUUUCAGUGAAUCGUGGUGGUUUGGUUCAUUAGAUUUUCAAAUUUAUAGAGACACGUUAUUAUUAGUAAAGGUUGAUACAAUUUUUGGUAAAGGUUGAUACAACUAUUUGUUGAUUUAGUUCAACUACUAGUUAUUUUUUUUUGCUAUCAGAUUUUUUGAGUUGUGAAACUAGGUUUCAUUCGAGUAUUAUAAAUUAAAUUUUUAUGUGAGUUUCGAAUCGAAUUUUCUCGAGUUAAGUUGAAUUCAGUUUGAUAUAUAAAAACCUAUUUGAUAAAAAAAAUAUAUAUAAAAACCUACAAAUAUUCAAAAACUAAUGCAUUUGAGGCGAGUUUGGAUAUUUGUACCAAAGGUAACAAUAUUAACCGAUUCAGUUCGAGUAUUUUGAGUUCAAACUAAAAUUAACCUAAAAAUAUUCAAAUAACCAAAGUAAUCAUAUUACCAUAUUUGAUUCGGGUUUGAUUUUGAUGUAUAAAAACUUAAAAAUAUUAAAAUAUUUAUACAAUUAAUUAUAUUAUGAUACAUAUAAAAUAUAUAACAAUAAUCAUGAAAAAAAUAUAAAUAUAUAAAAGGAAAAUUAACACCCGCAGGUCAAUAUCUAAUUUACUCUUAAUUCAGUUCAUAUUUCACCAAUCAAUUGAAAACAAGUUUAUUUACUUUUCAUCUCUCUUACGCAGUAUACUAUUUUUAAUUAGUGGUAAAUAAGUUCAUUUAUUUAUCCCAUGUAUGCUGAAGAGGAAGAAAACAUAUAACGCUGACUUUUAACUUUUUUUUUUUGUUUUUCAUUAUUUUAUUUAUUCUACCAUUUUACUUUCAUUUAAGUUACGCUUUUGUUUACCAAUCAUAAGAUUCAUAACCAAAGUAAUAAAGUUAAGUUGAUGCUUGGACACAGUGACACGGAGACGUUGGUCUCUGCUUUCCAAAAACACAUCGUUCACUCUGUAAUUCAAAUGCAACUUGACGAGAAGUUGCUUUGCACAAAUUAAUGGUGCCUGAAAAUGUUCACAGUUAAAAAUACUAAGAUGUACAAAAGUCCCUGUACCUAAUACAUAUUUGUCCAUUUUUUUUAAAAAAAGCACAUAUUAGUCCAUUUUAAUUUAUGAUUUAUUGAUUAUUGUUUAGGAUUUAAUAUUUAGGAGUGGAGUUGAAUUUAUAAAUUUCUAUAAAUACUCUUUUAUAAAUGAUUUACGAGAGCUAGAUAAAUUUUUUUAUCACAAAUUAAUAAAAAUGAUUAUUUUUACGAAUAAAUUUGAAAACAUAAUCCAAUUUGUGGUAAAAUUAGAAUAUUUCCAAAAUUAUUCUCAGCUAUAUUGUUUAUACUGCUCCAUAAAGUAACUAUUAUACUGACUAGUCUACAGAAUUCAUUUGACAUUACAACCAUUUCCUUAAAUCAUUUCCAUCAUUAAAUCAUUUUUCAUCAUCACCAUCAAUAUGUUACUAUCCACUUACGAAACAGACCGCCUCUUAAAAAACCCGUUCAUCACUCUCUUACGUUACAGAGAGAAAACUCUUUCGAUCUUUACCUUCAUAUCAAAUCAUAAAUCAUAAGGUCAGAGAUGAGAUGAGUUCGGUUUCGUGAUCGGUUUUUCCUUCCGGAAACGAUGGCUCCUUCAGUGUCGUUUGCCGGCUUCUGACUCCGGCGUCGCUUCUUACCCCUCGGUGUCGACGGCUGGCUCUGUGCCGGUUUCAUUCGGCGUUUAUAUUUUUGAAAUACGACGGUGAAGAAGGAAGAGAUGGUUGUAGUUCUAAAGCCGUCGGUGGUGGUUUAGGUGGCUCUGGAUGAGAUCUCGGGAUAGUCUCGAUCGAUCUCUCCGUUAAAAAGAGUAUUGGUGACGAAGGUGGGCGCGGUGGUUCUAGCUACGGCGUUUAUCCGGUGAAACACGUGUCCGUUUUUCGUCUCCUCUGACGUGAACCUCGUGGGUUGGGUUACGAUGUCGUGAUCGGGUGACGCGUGUCCCGUUCAUGGGUGGGUUUCAACACGUGGAUGGCCUUGCGAGGUUCUAGACGCGUGGCAAUGUGAGGCGCCGCACGGUUUGUGGUUUGGGCUUAAGGCCCAUGUUUAGUUUGCCCUUUGUCCUGGGCUUUAUGCUUUAUGUUUUAUGUUUUAUGUUUAAUGUUUUGGAUUCGUUGGGUUUGACCCAUUAAUAAAAUAAUAGAUGAAAAAAAAAUGUUACUAUCGACUUCAAUUGACGGUUUUGAUUUAGUUUUGUGAAAUGUGCAACAAAACGUUCAAAUGGUUUUCAAUGUAAAACCGUUAAUGGUUUCAUCCAUUGCCUGCAAUUUGUUUUGCUGGGUUGAAACCAUUGGCUAAGUUAUUAUUAUUAACUAGGGGCGUUGUCCCUACGCAAGCGCGGAGUUAUGGACAAAAUUCUUAUUUCAUCUCAAUAUUUGUUAGGGUUAUUGUAGCUGUGAAUUUUGCGUUUUGGGUUGAUCAUUGUUUUUCAAGUUUUUUAUUGUUAUAGGGUUAGAGUUGUGAUGAUGAACUGUGUAUGCACUGUUCUGCACUCACGAAGAACUAAAUUGUGUUAGUAAUGUGAUUGAUAUAGUUCGUGGUGUUGUUUGCUGUGUCACUGAAACUUAUUGUUUGUUUGUCUUUUUAAUUUGUUACUUGUACUGUUGAGAUUACAUAAAUUAUAUUAAGGUUGUUGAGAGUACUUUUUGUUUAUGGAUAUUUUUUCUCGAGUUUAGUUGUGUAAGUUGUGAGUGUUAAGUAAUUUUUUUUUUUGUCAGGCUUCCCUUUCAACUCUUUGGCAAGCUCAACGGCAGCAUCCUCGGUGUAAGUCUCAAGAUAUGGCCAGACUUCGAAUCUCGAGAUCCAUUUGCGAACUAUACCCUUCUCUGUUCUGAAGGGCACACGGAGAAUAUCACAAUACUCAGAUCCAUCAACUCUCUCAAGACGCUCACCACAUGUGGUUCCCACCGCAUCAGGGAGAAGUCUAGUGAGCUGCAACAGAAGCAAAACACACACACAAAGUGAGAUUCAGACAUUCAAACAAGAUUCCAAGGUUUGGAGCAAGCUUACAAUGAGGAUUCUUGGAGUAAAGUUGAGUCCUUGCUGCUUAAUACGUUGCAGCAUCUCUGUCUCCAAGGCACGGACUUGAUCCAGAAUGUAAACAACCUGACCACCAGUGUCAGGGUAACCAAGGACAUUGUCCUGAGCGAAGUAGCCAUGCGGAGAGAGGAUCACAACGUUGAACACCAUUGGGAUUCUUCCGAGAAAGGUCUCAAGAGUGCAAGGGUCAGGGGCCUCAAGAAGGUCCAAAAGAAGACGGAGCAUGUCAAGGACACGCUCGGCGUUGUUUCCCCAUCCCCUCUCAAGACCAAUCUCCUCAAACUUGGCCUCAAAGUCUUCGUAAGGCGUUUCGGGUGAAAGCUCGGCUAGAUACUCCUCAGCUUUCCUCAAGAUGUGUUGAAGAGUGUUGAGGUUUUGAAUUUUCUCGUUCAACAUGAGGGU
rnacentral:lncRNA from 1 species